UAGAACCCAUUACGACCCUUUAGAACCCAUAACAACCCAUUAGAACCCAUUACGACCCAAUAGAACCCAAUAGAACCCAUUACAACCCAUUAUUACAACCCAUUAGAACCCAUUACGACCCAUUACAACCCAUUAUUACAACCCAUCCAAAGAGCAGGUACCCCAAUAAAGAAGACCCGGGUGGGGGGGACAGGCCUCACCAGAAGGUCUGCUUGAGGAUCCGGCUCCGCUCCUCCAACCAAGCUCUGCGUGCAUCAGGUGCCAUGUUCUGCCCAGCAUCCACCACAGCCAGCGGCCACUCUGCCAUAUGACACAGCCCCAUUGUCACCACCCCAACGUCCCCACACCGUCCCCCAAUGUCCCCACAGCUUCUCACCUUGCCCUGGUGGGGUGAGAGUGACGGCGUGUGCCAGCGCGGUGAGCACCGACUGCUCGGCCAACCCAAUGCGGAGCUUUCCACUGAGAGAUCUGCAUUAGGGGGACACCAAUGUCACUAUCAGGGACACCAAGGGGCACCAAUGUCAGAGAGAUCUGCAUUAGGGGGACACCAAUGGGCACCAAAGUCACUAUCAAGGACACCAAUGGGCACCAAUGUCACUAUCAAGGACACCAAUGGGCACCAAUUUUACUAUCAAAGACACCAAUGGGCACCAAUGUCACUAUCAGGGACAAAAUGGGCACCAAUGUCAUUAUCAGGGACACCAAUGGGCACCAACGUCAUUAUCAGGGACACCAAUGGACACCAAUGUCAAUAUCAAGGACACCAAUGGGCACCAAUGUCAAUAUCAGGGACAAAAUGGGCACCAAUGUCACUAUCAGGGACAAAAUGGGCACCAAUGUCACUAUCAGGGUGAUGAGGUGAUCCCACAGCACCACAAUUGCCCUUUUCUUGUCCUCACCGGACGAGGUAUCGCGCCUCUGAGUGCCGACAGGCGACAAAGAGCCCUUUGAUGAUGUCGAUCUUCUUGUUAGAAGACUGCAAAAGAAACCACAGCCACAUUGGCACAACACAAAGGUGACGAGUGCCAUCCACACGGUCCCCAAGCUCACCGCAUUGCCCGACAUGGCGGCCAUCUCCCGCAGCUUGCCGAGGACACCGUUGGCGCUCAAUGGGGCUGGCGGCACCACCGUGCGUUGGGUGCAGCGGCUGCUUUCGGCCACCAACCCCAAAUCCCCUUUAUCUUGUGCUUCACUGCGGAUCUGAGCCAGCUGGCGACCUGUGGGGAUGGCAACGCCAACGUCAACACCUACAUUAGCGCCAUGGGGCAUCCCAGUCAAUACCUAUAUCAAUACUAUGGGGCAUCCCAGUCAAUACCUACACCAAUACUAUGGGGCAUCCCAGUCAACACCUACACCAAUGCUAUGGGGCAUCCCAGUCAAUACCUACAUCAGCACCAUAGGGCAUCCCAGUCAACACCUAAACCAAUGUUAUGGGGCAUCCCAGUCAACACCUACAUCAAUGUUAUGGGGCAUCCCAGUCAACACCUACAUCAAUGUUAUGGGGCAUCCCAGUCAACACCUACAUCAAUACCAUGGGGCAGCCCAACCCAUGGAUCUUACCAGUGGCCUGAGCAAGGGCACGGGUGAGCAGGGUCUCGCCAACACCCAGCUCCAACCCUUCAGGGGCGGCUCCCGGACGGUUGAGGCACAAAAGAAGGCAAGGGAGUAAUUCAGAUGGGGUCAGGGCCACCACGGAGCGUAGGAAGUUGGUGAGGAUCUCAAUGAUCUUCAGCCUAGAGGGGGAAUGGAGGCUCAGAUCAUUGGGGUUUGGGGUAAGGGUUGGGGAUGGAGGGGAAAGGUGGUUGGCUCCAUAAAUCCCGAAUAGUUUUAGGUGGGAGUGGAGAAGGUGUUGGG
ensembl:lncRNA